UACGAAGGGGGCUAGCGUUGUUCGGAAUCACUGGGCGUAAAGCGCACGUAGGCGGAUCUUUAAGUCAGGGGUGAAAUCCCGAGGCUCAACCUCGGAACUGCCUUUGAUACUGGGGAUCUCGAGUCCGGGAGAGGUGAGUGGAACUGCGAGUGUAGAGGUGAAAUUCGUAGAUAUUCGCAAGAACACCAGUGGCGAAGGCGGCUCACUGGCCCGGAACUGGACGCUGAGGUGCGAAAGCGUGGGGAGCAAACAGGG
rnacentral:rRNA from 1 species